rnacentral:misc_RNA from 1 species
AAGUCGUAACAAGGUUUCCGUAGGUAUUGGUUUGCCUGCGGCUGUCAGUCUGCUUUGGCAGGCAACAUCUCUAUCUUGCUGGAAUUUACAGAAUUGUACUACCAGCGGCUCUUAUGAGUUCACAGAUCAAAUAGAGGUGGCCCUCUGGGUUAAGAUAUGAUCGGAUGCAAGCUUGGUUGCUUGCAGUAAGUUGGAACCUGCGGAAGGAUCAUUACUGAGAACUUGCCCUUUGGGGUAGAUCUCCCACCCUAUGUUUACAUACUUUGUUGCUUUGGCAGGCCUGCCUCUGUGCUACUGGCC